rnacentral:rRNA from 1 species
AGAGUUUGAUCAUGGCUCAGGAUGAACGCUAGCGGCAGGCCUAAUACAUGCAAGUCGAACGGGGGGCAACUCCAGUGGCGGACGGGUGCGUAACGCGUAUGCAACUUACCCCAGGGUGGGGAAUAACAGUUCGAAAGGACUGCUAAUACCCCAUAAUGCAGCGGGCCCACAUGGGCAUAGUUGUUAAAGGAGUGAUCCGCCUUGGGAUGGGCAUGCGUCCGAUUAGAUAGUUGGUAGGGUAACGGCCUACCAAGUCAACGAUCGGUAGCUGGUCUGAGAGGAUGAUCAGCCACACGGGCACUGAGACACGGGCCCGACUUCUACGGGAGGCAGCAGUAGGGAAUAUGGGGCAAUGGGCGCAAGCCUGACCCAGCCAUGCCGCGUGAAGGAAGAAGGUCCACAGGAUUGUAAACUUCUUUUCUCAGGGGAUAAGGCUCCAUUGUAUGGAGAUUGAAGGUACCUGAGGAAUAAGCACCGGCUAACUACGUGCCAGCCGCCGCGGUAAUAC